rnacentral:rRNA from 1 species
GCCCUACGGGGCGCAGCAGGCGCGAAACCUCUGCAAUGCGGGAAACCGUGACAGGGGGAUCCCAAGUGCUCAUGCAUUGCAUGGGCUGUUCUUUGGUCUAAGUAACCAGAGGAGUAAGGGCUGGGCAAGACCGGUGCCAGCCGCCGCGGUAAUACCGGCAGCUCAAGUGGUAGCCGCGAUUAUUGGGCCUAAAACGUUCGUAGCCGGAUAAGUAAGUCUUUGGUUAAAUCCUGCGACUCAACCGUGGGAAUUCUAGAGAUACUGCUUGUCUUGAGACCGGGAGAGGUUGGAGGUACUCCUAGGGUAGGGGUGAGAUCCUGUAAUCCUAGGGGGACCACCUGUGGCGAAGGCGUCCAACUGGAACGGGUCUGACGGUGAGGGACGAAACCUAGGGGAGCGAGCCGGAUUAGAUACCCGGGUAGUCCUAGGCGUAAAUGAUGCGAGUUAAGUGUGGGGGCAUCUACGAGAUGGCCCUGUGCUGUAGGGUAGCCGUUAAACUCGCUGCCUGGGGAGUACGGUCGCAAGGCUGAAACUUAAAGGAAUUGGCGGGGGAGCACCACAAGGGGUGGAGGCUGCGGUUCAAUUGGACUCAACGCCGGAAAACUCAUCG